rnacentral:rRNA from 1 species
GACGAACGCUGGCGGCGUGCCUAAUACAUGCAAGUCGAACGCAGUGGGGACGGGUGAGUAACACGUGGGUAACCUCCCAUCAGAGGGGAUAACACUUGGAAACAGGUGCUAAACCGCUAAGUGAAAGAUGGCCUCCCGCCUGAUUAGCUAGUAGGUGAGGUAACGGCUCACCUAGGUGAUGAUCAGUAGCCGACCUGAGAGGGUGAUCGGCCACACUGGGACUGAGACACGGCCCAGACUCCUACGGGAGGCAGCAGUAGGGAAUCUUCGGCAAUGGACGAAAGUCUGACCGAGCAACGCCGCGUGAGUGAAGAAGGUUUUCGGAUCGUAAAACUCUGUUGUUAGAGAAGCGGUAUCUAACCAGAAAGCCACGGCUAACUACGUGCCAGCAGCCGCGGUAAUUC